rnacentral:lncRNA from 1 species
UUUGGAAAUAUAUAAACGAACAAAAGUAUUUUCUUUUUGGGUGCAAAGUAUCACAUGGAAUUCAAAUUAUUAUUUUUAAUAAACGUACAAAUGAAGUGAUGAACCAAAAAAAAAAGGGAAGAAGAAAGCAAGUACAAUGGAUUGAACCCCGAGUAAUAUUUUACAUUUAUUCAUUCACCAUUUUUGAUUCUUCAAUACUUCACGGUUUCGUAGAUUUUUGCUGGCUUACUGCAAAUAGUGGGAAAAGAAAGAAACAAGGGUGGCUCCAACCAAGGACACAAGAACAGGCAUUGUUGAGGUUGCGACGUUGGAGUCUGGGCCUGGGGCAGCUGCUGAAGCUGAAGCUGAAGCUGCACCUGGAGCUGAAGCUGGAGCUGGAGCUGGAGCGGAGUCAGCAGCCAGGACCGCGCUCAUAGAGGCGGCGGCGACAAUGACGGCGCAGGAGAUCUUCUUCAUGUCCAUGGUAUUGAAGAAUAGGCUUAGUGAGAGUCGAGAGACCUGCUGCGAGAUGGAAAACAAAAUUUAUUAAUUUGGUUUUCUUUAUAUGUUUAUAUGUUAUUGUUCUUCACGCAGGUCUGAAGAACAAGGAUGAAGGUGAGGUGCAUUUUAUAGGGGAAAUUCAUGUCUAUUUUAAGCAACAAAUGGUUUCUCAUUAGCUUAAAAAUAGGCUUAUGUGGGGUUUUGCAUGUUUUGAGGAUUGAAAUUGACAUGCAUCAUCUUUAAAAAGUUAAAAUUUUAAUUUUCCAUUAAAACCCUUCAAAUAGGAAUUUACUUAAUUACCAUUGUUUUUAUAAAUAUAUUAAAAAAUAUAUAUGAUAAGUUAUGUCUUCUUUAUUUUUUGUUGCAAAAGGUAACUAUUGGUUCCACUAGACCUGUUUGAAUGGUGUGAGAGUUUGGGUAAAAGUAUAAAUUCAAAAAAUAGAUUUAGAUAAAAAAAAUAAGGCUUGUUUAGAAAAUAAGUUGGACCUCGGGUAAAUUUUUUUAGCUCAAGCCCAGCUCGACCCGACUCAUGGAUACCUCUAAUUUCCACUUGUGCUUAUUGAAUAUAUUGAAUUGAAGUGGUAUGAUGAUAUAAUGAAUCGUUACAUUGAAUGGAUAAAUAAUGGAAACUAUGAAGCAUGAUGUUAUAUUGACACUUAAAGAAAUGGUUUGAUUGAUAUUUAAGCCUCCGUUUGUUUCACUGAAAAUGAUUUCUGGAAAAUGAUUUGUUUUUCUGGAAAAGCUAAUAUUUUCUGGUGUUUGGUGUUUGGAUGAAUCUGUGUAAAAUAUUUUCUUUUGUUUGACAGAUUUCUUAAAAAUAUUUUAUAAAAUUUGUUUUCAAUGAAAUAAACAUAGAUUCAAGAUUUUCUUAUCUUUUAAUCGUUUAAUUGAGUUUAUUUUAUAUAUAUAAUUUUAUAUUUUACAUUGUUUUUGCAUAUAUUAAAAAUAUUUUGUUAAAUUCUUGUUCAUUACAACGUUAUUUUUUAGUUGCAUGAUUACCAAGUGAGCUUUUUUUAUUUAAAAAUGUGAUAUCAACAAAAUUGACGAAAAUUUAACAAUGUCAACAAUUAGACUUGAUUUUCAAAUAUGAAAAGAACAGAGACUAAAUUCUUGAAAAUAAAAGUACAGAGACAAAAUUACAAAUUUGUGAAGAGUACAUAGAGACUUAUGACAUAUUUUAACCUUUAUACUACAAAAUAAUUAUUAUUAAUAUAUUUGUAAUUGUAAUAAAUAUUUAUUAUUAUUAUUGGUUAAUAAUAAAUAUUUAUUAUUAAAAUAUUAAUAUUGAAUAUUUUUAAUAAUAUGUGAUGUAUAUUAUCUAAAAUUAUUAUUUUUAAAAUUUAUUAUUAAAUAAAAUCGAAAUAUUUAUUAAAAUAAUAAAUUAUAUUAAUUAUAUUAAUAAUUUAUUAUAUGACUAAAUAUAAAUAAUUAAAUAGGUAUGUUUAAUAAUAUUGAAAAGUAUAAUAUUUUAUAUUAAUAUUUUAAAUAUUUUUAAAAAUAAAAAUAAAAAUUCUUAUUAAUAUAAUAAUAUUAAGCUUGAUUUAAGUUAUUUUUUAUAUAAAAAAAUUAUCUAUAGAUGAGCUCUUUUUCGAAAAAUGACUUGCGCUUUUCAAAAGGGUAAGUCAUUUUACAAGAAAAAUGACUUAUUUUCCGUUGACCUGUAAGUCAUUUUCCGUUGACCUGUAAGUCAUUUUCUGUUGACCAAACUAUUUUUUGUGAAUCAAACACAAAAAAAUGCAGAAAACAUUUUCCGUAAAACCUUUUACAUGUAAAUAAAUGGACCCUAAGUUAAAUUUGUAUUAUGUGCAAUUUGAUUGGACUCAAGUAUGAUAUUUGAAUUAUGAAAUUGAAUAUUGUGCCAUGUACACAUAUGUGUAACCAAUUUUUGAAAAUUCUCUAGUAAACCACUAUGAAUAAAUUUGGAUAUAAUUGGUAUGCUAACAAAACUUUAGUAGCAUUGUGUAUUAUAGUCUACUGAUAAAGCAAGAAUUGAUGUUUACAUAUUUGCUUUAUUGCACUAAGUGCAUAAUUGGUGUGAUGGAGGACAUAUGAUUCAUGUUAUAUAUGUUAAUUGGUGUGAUGGAGGAUUAUGUUUAAGCUCAUGAGCCAUCGGUGUGAUGGAUGAAUUAUUUUGAAUAUCUAGAUUAACCCUUCUCUUACAUAUAAUGGUAAACAUGAUAAAUGUUAUACUUCCUAUCCAGAAGGGAAAUGUGGCACCAUGAGAAGACAUAUGUGGACAAUCCUCUGCUUAUUUCCCGACCUAUACAAUACUUGGUAUAUUCUCCACCUAAGUGCUUAAACAAUUCUCUACUGCUCAACUGGUCACUAGAUGAUCAAUCACUCAGGCAUCUCAUCCUCCAGGUCACCCUCUUUUAGUUGGUGCAUGCUCACCUCCAAAGAGGGGACCUCUAAGGGGCCAUUAGACAUAACAACCUCAUACAGUCAAGGGAAUAUCAAAACAGUACCAUGCAUGAGGAAAACCCAAGCACAAUAGCCUUGCCACCUGAUGAUCAUCAUGUCCUAUAUUUGUCGGUGACGUGAACUCAUUGGGCAUGAGACCUCUUCCCUAUAAAUACCCUGUAGAACAAUGAAAGAUCGAUCCUUUAGCCUUUCAACAACCUUAAGCACUCCUCAGCACUCAACCUCCUUUGCUACCUCCCCCUCACUUAUUUUCUUUGUAAUACCCCGUAAAUUUUUACAAUAAAAUAUUAUCUUUGAUAUAGUAAGGAAAUAAAGUGGCAAAAAGAAGAAUUUUGAGUUAUGACAAUAUUGAGAAGUAUAUUAUGAAAUAUUAAUUCAAGAAAGGAUUAAAUUGCAAAAGUGAGAAAAGUUUUGUUACCCAAGAGUAAAUACUCAAAAUUUGAGGGGUUAAAGUGUAAAUAUGAAAAAUUUGAAGGACCAAUAGUGUAAAUAUUUUAAGGGUGGAAUAAUCUAGAAACUAAGGAAAAUGGAUGAAUUAGGACCAAAUUGAAAAGCUAGAGAAUUUUGAGGGACUAAAUCGUAAUUUUACCAAAUUAAGUGAUGACUCAAGGAUGAAAUUUUAAAUAUUAUAAAGGGAAAAAUGGUCAAUUAGAAGAGAGAUAAAUCUAGAAGAUAAUGAUGAUGUUGGAGAUAUUUUAUAUUAAAUAAAUAAAUAUUAGUUUAUUAAUAUUUUAAUUUAAUUUUUAAAUGAUGUUUUAUUAUUUUAUUAAUAUUUUAUUUAGUAUAUAUAAGAAAAGGAAGAUUAAGAAUCAUCAAUUCCACCAUAUUUCCAUGCAACUAACGUGAGAAGAGUGGAGAAGAAAGAAAGUUUUGCUUUCUUUACAAUUUGGUCAUUCCACCAAAAAUUUACCAUUUUCACCUAGAAAUCAAAAGAAUUUCCAUAGCUUCCAAGAGAGAGGAAUAAAAAGGAGACAAUGAGGAGCUAGAAUAUCAAGUUAGAUUCAAGAAAUAGAAGUUGGAGGAGAGAGAAAAUCAAGUUAAAGAUUGAAAUCAAUAGCACAAGGUAAGAACAUCAAGAUUUCAAUAUAUUUUUAAGUUUGAUAUUAUUGAAAAAGCAUGGAAAUAAUGCUAUAGUAGAGUUUUCUUAUAUAAGGUAUUAUGUUCUUGAUAUAUUAGUGAAGAGAAAUACGUGAAAGUGAUGAGAAAUAUUAUAGAGAAAGGGAAUAAGGGAGUUAUACACCUAGUAAUCAACAUUUUGCACUAAAACAGUUUUGGACAGCAGCAGUAGGUUAACUUUGGAAAAUCACCAUAAAUUUUGGAAAUCGAAUUAGAGUAUGAAUGAAUAUGGAAAUAAAUCUUAUUAAGUCUAGUUUAUCAUAGAAGAAACAGUGUAAGUAAUGGAAUUGUAAAUCAUGAGAUAUAAUAAAUUUUGUGAGACAAGGUCAAAAUGAAUUUGGGUUCCCUUGUUUUGACUUGGACAAAUCAUUAAAAAUUGUAAAAAAAUAAUUAUGGGUUAUAAUUUAUAUGUUUAAAAUCCUUAUGAGUAUAUUUUCAAUAGAAAUAAACGGGAACAUCAUCCGAAUUCUGUACAAAGAGAUAAUUAUUUUUUAGUGAAGAGGGGUCGGAACUGUCAAACAGUGAAACAAUAGAAAAUUUAAAGAAUAAAAUGCACUUAUUUGAUAAACAAAAAAUUAUGAAAAUUUUAUGGUAAGAAUAUAUGUGAGUCUAGUUUCAGAAAAUUUUUAGAUCUCAAUUCAGAGUUCUGUAGCUUAAGAUAUAAUUAAUUUAGUGACUAUGACUCAAGUGAACAGCUUGUUAUGAGUAAACAAUAUAAUAGUGGUAUUAUGUAUAUAUCAAGGAUGUGGAAUGGAGUGGAGGAGGAGGAAAAAUAUAUGUGAAUAUUCAGAUAAUAUGAGUUUAUUUUAAAAUAGCUAAUUUACAUGUUUUAGGUUCAGGGACUAAAUUGAAUAAAAGUAAAAUUUUAAGGGUAAUUUUGUAAAAAUGUCAAAAAUGACCAAAUCGCAUGAAAUGAAUUGUUUUAUCAUUUAAAUUAAUAAAUUGAAUGAAAUAUUAAUUUAGAUCAAGAUUUGAGUGGAAAUUCGAGAAAAAUGAAAAAUUACCAAAAUGUCCCUGAAUUUUGAUAUUUCUUCAGUUUAGCCCGAUAGGUUCGUGUAACUUGAAUUAUAUUUUUAAAUGCUUGAAAUGUUUGUUAUUGAUGUGAAUAUGAUUUGAAUGUUCAUUGUAUGAAAAUUGAUGAAACAUUGAUAUAUUUGAUAAAAAGGGGAAGAAAUCCCGGUUGAAUGGAAGGAAAAUUCGAUGGAUCUCUGAAAAGGAAUUGACGGUAAAAAGGAUCUUGCCCGGAAGAGUGAUCCUAUCCUGAUAUGGCCCUCCGGAAGAAUAUGUGUGAGAAAGAUCUAGCCCGGACGGGUGAUCUUGAUAUAGCCCUCCCGAAGAAUAUGUGGAAAAUGGAUUUAGCCCGGACAGGUAAUCCGAAUUAGGGUCUGAAUUUAGCCUGGACUGGUAAUUCAGAUCCAAGCUCAUUAGAGUAAUUGUUGUUGCAGGGGAUUUAGCCUGGACUAGUAAUCUCGACAAUACUCUAUAAGUUUAUAUUACAGGGGAUUUAGCCUGGACUGGUAAUCCCGCUGUAAGAAAUGAGGUUUGUGGCAGUGUGCUCUCUUGCAGGGGAUUUAGCCUGGACUGGUAAUCCCGCUGUAAGAAAUGAGGUUCGCGGGAGUGUGCUUUCUGAAUUGAAAAAUGUGCGUACAUGAAUAUGAAUUGACGGACCCGAAUUUGUACACUAAAGUGUACCCUUGAAAAUCCAUCGAAAUUCCGAGAAAUUCAACGGGAUAAAAAUAGAAAAUGAUAAGUACAUAAAAUCAUGAAAUUAAACUUGAAAUACAUAGAAAUGAUAAUUAUUUGAUAUACUAAAAUAUGACAUGGAAAAUACAUGUAUGUGAAACUUGCCUGAUAAUUAUGCAUAUUCAAGAUUAUGAAGUGCUACUGGAAUAAAUACACAUUGAAUUUAUAAAAAAAAUUAUAGUACAUGAAAUAUUGUCAUAAUGAAUUGAAUAAUUUAUAGUUAAGAAGAAACAACAAGAAAAUGAUAUGUAUCAUAACAUGUAAAUAUGAGACUAUCUUUGAUACAUUGAUUCAAGGAAAAUUAUGUGUAUUAAGAUGAGUAAUAAAUUUAAGUGAGACAUGGCGAGAAAAUAAGUUUGUCAAUAUUAAAGUACGCUAACCAAUGUUGUUGCUUGAAGUUUAGGCAAGUGCCAAAUUACUGUUGAAUGGUAAUAUGUUUAAUUAUAAGGUGCAUUGGAAUGGUAAGUGCUUAGAUGAAAAUAUAAUUGAGCUUAUGAAAGAGUGGAAAGGUUUCAGUUAUGCAAUUUCUUAUGAAAAGAUUUUUUAUGUGAUACACCCGUAUGAACCCUGCACCUAAUUCAGAAAUAAUUUUUUUUAAAAAUCUAUAUAUAUAUUUAGGAUUCUGCGAAAAAAUUCCUAUGAUUCCGAUUUAAUCCCAGUAGGUUCCUAAUAAAUGUUUUGGGCUUCGAGAACCCAAUAGAGGGACGUUAUGAUUAUUUUCAGAAUAUGAACAAUAAAUGAUUCAGAAUUAUUGAAAAUGUUCAGUAAACUCCGGUAAUGCCUCGUGCCCUAUUCCGACAACGGAUACGGGUAGGGGGUGUUACAUUCUUUAUUCGGCUCUUCGCCUAUUUAGGUGAACUAGUUUUCCUUGCACCACCACAUUCUCCUCCUUACCUCCUCCCUUAUUGACACUAUCAGCAAUAACAUAUGUCCUAUAUUUACUUGAUUGCAUAACAGGGAAAUUUAGAGUUUUCUUGAGCACCAUUAACCCUAUAUGCAUGCUUAACGUGUGGAAUUCAAUUUUUUUGCGCAUGUUUCAAUUGAUACGAGACAAGAACCUUCGAGUUGCAUCAGAGAUUAAGCCACUAUUUUUGUGUAAUUGUUUAAGAUUAUGACUUGAUUAUAUUUUGGAUGUGUGUAUUGUAGAAACACUAUUAUGACAUAUACUUAAGUUAGCAAGUGUUAAGAACCUUUUUUGGUUGUGUUAUGACUUAGAAGUAUUGUAUAUCAUGGCUAAGUGGUAAUUUAGGUAUAUUUAAGCUUAUGACAUUGCUCUUAAAAUGAAUGUGUAACGACCCCAAAUUCUCAAGUUAAUGUUCGAAUGUUGACCUGGGUUGGCGAUGGAUAAAUUUAUUUUGGGAUUGAGUUUUUUUUUUGGAAUUAAUUUGGGUGAAUUUUGGAUAUUUUUAUAAGAAAUUAAGGAUGUUGGGAAGCUUGUGUGAAGUAGGGGGAAGAUGGAUGGCUAAUAUGGUGAUUUUACCAUUUUUGAAUAAAAGUCUUCUCCUAAUUAGUGGUAAAAGAUGGUUUGGUAGAUUGGUAUGAGAUAAAGUGGAUUUGCCCCUAUUUUCCCCUAUAUUAUAAUCACCCUAUUGUUUUUUUUUCUUUUUUCAUUUCUUCAUUUUUUUCUUCUUUUCUCUAUCUAUUUUUCCUUAGCAAGUCAUGUAGAGGGAGAGAGAUUUGAGUGAGUUCUCACCGUUUUUUUUUCAUCCUCCAAAUCUCAAAGAAGGUAAGGGUCUUGAUCUAUUUUUUAAAAAAAGUUUCAUGGAAGAAAAAAAAAUAUCUAUGUUCAUCAAGGAUGAAGGUGGAGGUUUUUGGGUGUGUGGAAGGGUUUGAGUUUGAGGAAGUCUCUAUCCAUCUUCUCAUAUUUUAUUUAGAUAUUUAUUUAAAGUAUGUAGUUUUACAUUCUACCAACUCUUUUUUUUUUUAUGGGAAAUCUUGUGUGUUACAUGGUUAUUAGUUAAAGAGGGUGGUGAAUCUUCUAAAGCAAAGGGUAAAGGCAAAGUGGUGGAGAGCUAAGCAAGAAACUUUGUUGGUGUUCUUCCAUCAAGGUGGUACCCUCUAACUCUCCUAUACUUCUUGAUAAGUCAUAAAUAUGAUGCUUGUGUGAUAAUGCAUGCAUGUUAUAUGUCUUUGGGUGGAAAUCUUGUUUGAAUGAUUUAAAAUGAAGCUAAAAGCUUAAUUGUGAAAUCUGCUAGAAACAAAUUAUUACAUGAAUAGUAAAUUUGAAAAUUCACCAUAAAUUCUGUAAAAAUGAUUAAGAAGUGAUCUAUACAUCGUUGUAACCUUAGUCAAUCUAGUUUUUUUUAGAACAAACAAAGAUCAAUUUUGAUUUGUAUUUUAAAAGAUAUGAAUUUUUGAGUGUUGAAAGGUUAUAAAAAUCUAGCAGCAGGAUUCUUAUAAAACAGAUUUAGCAGUGAAUUUGAAAAAUCACCAAAAAUUUCACAAGAUAAAAUAGGAAGUGAGCCUUAUAUCUCUAUAACCGUAUAGAAGUCUAGUUUUGUUUAAAACAAACGGUGCUCGAUUUAGAGUUAUAUAUUAAGAGUUAUUAAUUUUUGAAUGAAAAAAUGUCAGAAUGUCAAGGUAGCAAACUAUCACAUCUCAUUAGUUAAUAUUUUAGCUGGAAUGAUAAUCAAGUUGAAACGAGUAUGAGACUCGAAUGUCAUGGUUGUAUUUUUGUGAUUAUAUGUUUGAUGCUUUUUUUGCGCUCAGCCUUCGAGCUCUAACCUAACUAGCGGCCAUGAGUGGCGCUCGGGAUAACCCUACGGACACCCGAGAUUAUUUAACUAGCGGCCAUGAGUGGCGCGGGACUAUCCGGAUACCCGAUUAUUUGAGUAGUAUGUGAAAUCUAACAAGUUUGACAAGUUUGAUAUGCAAGCGAUUUGGUUAUGUAGAUUUAAUGACUCAGAAUUUAAUUAUUUGAUACUCAAAUCAUGUUUUUAUGUAUACAUUUGAUUUGCAUGCUUAUAUUUAUGAAUUGCUUGAAGUAUGGUAGAUUUGUUGUGUACCACUGAGCCUGUAAAGCUCAGCAUUCGAAUUGUCUUAAUGUUCAGAUUUGUAGACUUUUGUUUGUGUCUGAGGAACAUCAUCGACGAGAGACUCCUAGCAUCACGUAUUCAGAGUACAGUACCUUAUCUAUUAGUGGACAUUGUAUUCUUAAGGCCUUACUUGUAUUUUUUUGUAGGUCUGUAACUCAUUUAUCAUUUUUGUUAUUUUGACUAUUUUGAUGUACGAUGAUAUUGGAGCUACACAUAUUUUGUAUAACUACUUUUAUUACUAUUUUCAGUAUAAUUUGUAUAACUACUUUUAUUACUAUUUUCAGUAUAACUAUGUAUGGUAUUUUCACUUAUAUAAAAUGUAUUUCAAUGUUUUAAAAUUAUUUAAAAAUUUUGCUAGGUUACUCUAGUGACUUAAUGUAGCGCCUUAGUAUUCGAGUACUCCAUAUUCGGGAUUAGGGUGUUACAAAAUGAAUGCAUGUGAAAUUAUGACAAAUGGAGUGCAUUUGGAUAUAAUGCAUGUCAUGUAACCAUUGAUUUGGAGGUGUUACCCUAAUUAAAAGAAAAUAAAGAUGAUUUAGUUUAAUUUUUAAGUUGCUUUACUUUUAGGUACCGAUACUUAAUUUAGGGGUAUUGAUAUCAGAUGAGAUGGUAAUUAACAGAUUUUUUAAAGGGGCAGUGUAUCGAUAUCAUAUCCCUUGGUAUCAUACCAUCUGACUUAAGCUACUAAUUCCAUCCUAUAAUGAUUUAUUUAGUCCUCCAAUUUAAAAAAAAAAAAAAUUUAGGUCUCUAUUUAAAUUUCUGUCUUUUUUAACUUUCAAACUUUUUUUUUUUUAUCAAAUCACUCCAAAAUGAAUGAAAAAGUUAACAAAUGUUUACUUUGUUGUGGAUAUACAUGUAUAAGUCACAUAAAUAAAUAAAUAAUUUUUAAUAUUUUUUUUGAAAGCGUUACAAAAAUUAUAAUAUAUUUUUUUAUUUUUACAAAACUUUUAAAUAAUUUUUAAUAACUUUCUAUAUUUUUUUAAAUUUUUUUAUAAAAUAAUUAACUGGUGAUGUAGAAUCCACAUGAUGGUCCACAGAACCAAGUCAAGAUGAUACGAAUCAACCCUUUCUUCUUGCGCCAAAGAUCUUACCAUUUUCGAAGGAACUGAAGUUACAUUUCUUUUCUAAGUUCCAUUCAAGAGUUCUUAUAUGUUUCCACGACCUUGAAAUUUUGAAAAAUUUCUUUUCCUUUUUUAGGAAUACAUACAAGAUUCGUCACUACAAAUAAGAUAAUGGUAACCCCACGAUUAAUUAUUUCAUUUAUGAAUUUCAUAGUAAUAAAAAUACAUGUUCAUGUUAGCGAAGUUAACAUUUAACACAAAAACACAAAUUCAAAAGUUAAAAAAAUAAACAAUUAAAUAAAAGGCUAAAAUAAUUUUUUUUAUAAAGUUACGGAACUAUAUAAAUCAUUAUGCCUAAAUAAUUAUCCAUUAGAUAUUUUAGAAAUUUAAUUAGACUUUGCAUUUGGAUUGAAUGAGAUUUCAGUCACUUAUAUUUAGAGGUAAUUCUAUCAUACAUCCCUAAAUUAUGAUCCUUAUUCUAAAUUAAUCCUAAAAUUUCUAAAUAUUUUAAUUACAUCCUUAAACUAUUAAGGUUCUAUAAACUAAGUCCUUUUAUUACUAAAAUCGUUAAUAUAUACCCAUUAAAUGACACAUUAUAAGAUCUUAUAUGGCAUUUAAAGUGAUUUAAAAAAAAACGGAUAUUGUAAAAUAUUGUAAAAAUCUUAGUUUUAAAGUUUUUGAAAUUAUAUAUUCUCACACACGAUAUCUUUCUAUACAUAGUGAUGGUAUCAACUCAUAUGGCCAUAUUUGAUUCGGUGGAAUAAAAAUAAAAUAGAAAUUAGCUUUCGGAGAGCUAACUGAGUGGUUGAUAGCUCCGGUUUUGAAAACCGGUAUAGUUCGAACCAAAGAACUACAAAAAAAUAUCUUUCUUUAUUGCUUUUUCCUGGCUUCUUAAUUAAGAAUCUUAAUAUUAAUAAAAAAUAUUUUUGAUAUAAAAUGAGUUGAAACAAAAUGAAAACAAAAUACUUUUUAAAUAUCAUUUGAUUCCUUCAAUAUAUAUAGUGUAAUCAAAUUGAUUCCUACCUUAAGCAUCGAAUCACGAUCAAUUUCUUUUUCAAAUCCCACUGUGGCUGCGCAAGCUCUUCCCGCGUGCCAAUAAGUGACUCACGAGCAAAAGCUUUACCGUUCACUCUCUCAAACACUCCUUUUUUUUCUUUGAGGUUUUACUUUUAAAAUGAUUAUGUGGUAACAUUUUGCUUUCUUUUAAAAUUCUUUUUAAAUUACACCACUUAAUAUUUGACAUUAAAUAUUUUAAUAAUGGAAGAACUAAAUUGAUAUUAAUUUUGAUAAUUUGAGGAUGUAAUUAGAACAUUUUAAUAAUUGGAAACUAAUUUAAAAUAAGAGUUAUAAUUUGGAGAUAUUUAAAAUAUAUAACUCUUUUUUUUUUUCAAUUGCAAAGUAUCACAUGGAAUUCAACUUUUUUGAUGAACGUACAAAUGAAGUGAUGAACAAAAAAAGAAGGAAGAAAAGCAAGUAAAAUGGAUUGAACCCCGAGUAAUAUUUUACAUUUAUUAAUCCACCAUUUUUGAUUCUUCAACACUUCAUGCUUUCGUAUAUUCUUGCUGGCUUACUGCAAAUAGUAGGCAAAGAAAGAAACAAGGGUGGCUCCAACCAAGGACCCAAGAACAGGCAUUGUUGAGAUUGCGACGCUGGAGUCUGGGCCUGGGGCAGCUGCUGAAGCUGAAGCUGAAGCUGAAGCUGCACCUGGAGCUGAAGCCGGAGCUGGAGAUGGAGCGCCAGCAGCCAUGACUUCGCUCAUAGAGGCGGCGACGGCCACAAUGACGGC